rnacentral:rRNA from 1 species
CCUACGGGAGGCAGCAGUGGGGAAUCUUGCGCAAUGGGCGAAAGCCUGACGCAGCAACGCCGCGUGCGGGAAGAAGGCUCUCGGGUUGUAAACCGCUUUCAGCAGGAACGAAAAUGACGGUACUUGCAGAAGAAGGUGCGGCCAACUACGUGCCAGCAGCCGCGGUGACACGUAGGCACCAAGCGUUGUCCGGAUUUAUUGGGCGUAAAGAGCUCGUAGGCGGUUCGGUAAGUCAGGUGUGAAAACUUUGGGCUCAACCCAAAGCCUGCAUCUGAUACUGCUGUGACUAGAGUUCGGUAGGGGAGCGGGGAAUUCCUAGUGUAGCGGUGAAAUGCGCAGAUAUUAGGAGGAACACCGGUGGCGAAGGCGCCGCUCUGGGCCGAAACUGACGCUGAGGAGCGAAAGCGUGGGUAGCAAACAGGAUUAGAUACCCUGGUAGUCCACGCCGUAAACGUUGGGCACUAGGUGUGGGUUUCAACCAACGAAACUACGCGCGUCGCUACGCAUAGUGCCCGCCGUCGGGAGGUACGGCCGCGAACGGUUAAACGUACAAACGAAGUAGUACGGACGNGAGACGACGCGACGACGACGACGACGGAGGAGG